CUCAUUUCACAUGCAUUUAAGACAAUGGUUUCGACUUGGAGAGCCUUUUGGUUGCAACCGAAUCGGAAAUAAACGAGUUAUUUCCAGCUUCUCUCUUAGGCACAAGGGCAAAAUUUAAGUUUCAUUUGAAUUUCUGGAGAAAGAAUCCACCGAAAAAUAUUUCUGAGGCAUGCAAGAACUGGAUUGAGUCAAAUUACUUAGAACCGAAUUCCAGUUCAGUACAUAGUAAUAUAAGUUCACCCUCAUCUUCACAUCGGUCCUUUGAAAAUGAUUCGAUCUUUUUCGACAACAACACAUUGAAAGAAUUGUUAAGCCAGACAGAGAGGGGUCAGAGCAUACUUAACUCUUAUGAUGAAGAAAAGCAUCACUCGGACAUACACUUGUUGAAAUCGACUAUAAUAUCCUGAAACCAAACAAUCAAUCGCAACUUUUCAAACUCUGGCCUUCAUUCAUAAAAUAAAUCGUUCCCGUUAUAAAAAAACAAGUGAAGGAGAAAGGUUCAUGGGCUCUAUUAAACGAUCUCGAGAGUAUUAGCGCAAGUAGGUGUAUCCUUCUUUUUAAAUACAUAUUAAUUAUUUUUAAUUUUCAAUAUUUUAUAUUGCUUCCUGCUUCCUUGCCCAUUUCAAUUUUUUCUAUCCUCAUUUGUUAAGUUCCUUUUUUUAA